rnacentral:rRNA from 1 species
UACGUAGGGUGCAAGCGUUAUCCGGAAUUAUUGGGCGUAAAGAGCUCGUAGGCGGUUUGUCGCGUCUGCUGUGAAAACUGGAGGCUCAACCUCCAGCCUGCAGUGGGUACGGGCAGACUAGAGUGCGGUAGGGGAGAUUGGAAUUCCUGGUGUAGCGGUGGAAUGCGCAGAUAUCAGGAGGAACACCGGUGGCGAAGGCGGGUCGUCUGGGCAGUAACUGACGCUGAGGAGCGAAAGCGUGGGGAGCGAACAGGA